rnacentral:rRNA from 1 species
UGCUUUUUGUAAAUAUAAAAAGUAUUACCUGCCCAAUGAUAAAUUUAAUGGCUGCAGUAUAUUGACUGUACAAAGGUAGCAUAAUCAUUUGCUUUAUAAAUUAAAGCUUGUAUGAAUGGUAUAAUGAAAAUAUAACUGUCUCUUUUUUAUAAAUAAAAUUUGCUUUUUCAGUGAAGAAGCUGAAGAUUUUUAGAAAGACGAUAAGACCCUAAUGAGUUUUAUAUAUAUAAUUAUAUAUAUAAUUAUAUAUAUUUUGUUGGGGUAAUAAAAGAAAAAAUCUUCUUUUAUAUUAAAAAAAUAAUAUUUAUUGAACCAUUAAUAAUGGAUAAAAGUUUAAAUUACCAUAGGGAUAACAGCAUAAUUCUUUUUAAGAGUACAUAUCGACAAAAGAGAUUGUGACCUCGAUGUUGAAUUAAGAGAAUUAUAUAAUGCAGAAAUUAUAUUAAUAAGUCUGUUCGACUUUUAAAUUCUUACA